AGGAGAAGAAGGCUACUGCGGAUCCAGCAAUCGAAAAAAUUGAAGAAUUAACCGUGCAUGAUGAGGAUGUGGUGGGUAAGACAGCGAGCGUCAGUACUAUCAGGUCAGUAUACUGAGCUUCACAGACAUACUAGCUUAGUAAU